rnacentral:antisense_RNA from 2 species
CUUCACCGAACCCAACCGCAACGGUUCCUCGGCGCGGCCCUGGCCGUAGGUGGCGAGCAGCGCCUGCGCCUC